UACGUAGGGUGCGAGCGUUGUCCGGAAUUACUGGGCGUAAAGAGUUCGUAGGUGGUUUGUCGCGUUGUUCGUGAAAACUCACAGCUUAACUGUGGGCGUGCGGGCGAUACGGGCAGACUGGAGUACUGCAGGGGAGACUGGAAUUCCUGGUGUAGCGGUGGAAUGCGCAGAUAUCAGGAGGAACACCGGUGGCGAAGGCGGGUCUCUGGGCAGUAACCGACGCUGAGGAGCGAAAGCGUGGGGAGCGAACAGG
rnacentral:rRNA from 1 species